rnacentral:rRNA from 1 species
CCUACGGGAGGCAGCAGUCGAGAAUCAUUCACAAUGGGGGAAACCCUGAUGGUGCGACGCCGCGUGGGGGAAUGAAGUUCUUCGGAUUGUAAACCUCUGUUAUGUGGGAGCAAAUUAAAAAGAUAGUACCACAAGAGGAAGAGACGGCUAACGCUGUGCCAGCAGCCCCGGUAAUACAGAGGUCUCAAGCGUUGUUCGGCAUCACUGGGCGUAAAGCGUGCGUAGGCUGUUUCGUAAGUCGUGUGUGAAAGGCGCGGGCUCAACCCGCGGACGGCACAUGAUACUGCGAGACUAGAGUAGUGGAGGGGGAACCGGAAUUCUCGGUGUAGCAGUGAAAUGCGUAGAUAUCGAGAGGAACACUCGUGGCGAAGGCAGGUUCCUGGACAUUAACUGACGCUGAGGCACGAAGGCCAGGGGAGCGAAAGGGAUUAGAUACCCGGGUAGUC